AAUCUGUCGCAAUGGGCGAAAGCCUGACGCAGCCAUGUCGCGCGAAUGAUGAAGGUCUUAGGAUUGUAAAAUUCUUUCACCGGGGACGAUAAUGACGGUACCCGGAUAAGAAGCCCCGGCCACCUUCGUGCCAGCAGCCGCGGUAAUACGAAGGGGGCCAGCGUUGCUCGGAAUUACUGGGCGUAAAGAGCGCGUAGGCGGCCGUUUAAGUCAGGGGUGAAAUCCCAGAGCUCAACUCUGGAACUGCCUUUGUUACUGGGUGUCUUGAGUGUGAGAGAGGUAUGUGGAACUCCGAGUGUAGAGGUGAAAUUCGUAGAUAUUCGGAAGAACACCAGUGGCGAAGACGACAUACUGGCUCAUUACUGACGCUGAGGCGCGAAAGCGUGGGGAGCAAACAG
rnacentral:rRNA from 1 species